rnacentral:rRNA from 1 species
GAUGAACGCUGGCGGCGUGCCUAAUACAUGCAAGUCGAGCGAAUGGAUUAAGAGCUUGCUCUUAUGAAGUUAGCGGCGGACGGGUGAGUAACACGUGGGUAACCUGCCCAUAAGACUGGGAUAACUCCGGGAAACCGGGGCUAAUAUCGGAUAACAUUUUGAACCGCAUGGUUCGAAAUUGAAAGGCGGCUUCGGCUGUCACUUAUGGAUGGACCCGCGUCGCAUUAGCUAGUUGGUGAGGUAACGGCUCACCAAGGCAACGAUGCGUAGCCGACCUGAGAGGGUGAUCGGCCACACCGGGACUGAGACACGGCCCAGACGCCUAAGGGAGGCAGCAGUAGGGAAUCUUCCGCAAUGGACGAAAGUCUGACGGAGCAACGCCGCGUGAGUGAUGAAGGCCUUCGGGUCGUAAAACUCUGUUGUUAGGGAAGAACAAGUGCUAGUUGAAUAAGCUGGCACCUUGACGGUACCUAACCAGAAAGCCACGGCUAACUACGUGCCAGCCGCCGCGGUAA